rnacentral:rRNA from 1 species
AGCUCCAAUAGCGUAUAUUAAAGUUGUUGCAGUUAAAAAGCUCGUAGUUGGAUUUCCGGCGUGAGGGAUCAGUCUGACUUCUAGUCAGUACUUGGUCCUCUCAUGCCGUCCUUGAAUGGUGCAUCCUGGCAUUAAGUUGUCGGGGUGAGAGCCGUUCAUCGUUUACUGUGAGAAAAUUAGAGUGUUCAAAGCAGGCUUAUGCCGUUGAAUAUAUUAGCAUGGAAUAAUAAGAUAGGACUUUGGUACUAUUUUGUUGGUUUGAGAACCAAGGUAAUGAUCAAUAGGGACAGUUGGGGGUAUUCGUAUUCAGUUGUCAGAGGUGAAAUUCUUAGAUUUCCGGAAGACGAACUACUGCGAAAGCAUUUACCAAGGAUGUUUUCAUUA